UACGAGGGGGGCGAGCGUUGUUCGGAAUUAUUGGGCGUAAAGGGUGCGUAGGCGGUUUGGUAAGUCUGAUGUGAAAUCUAUGGGCUCAACUUGGGAACUGCAUUUGAUACUGUCAGACUAGAGUACAGAAGAGGUGACUGGAAUUCCCAGUGUAGCGGUGAAAUGCGUAGUUAUUGGGAGGAACACCAGAUGCGAAGGCGGGUCACUGGGCUGAUACUGACGCUGAAGUGCGAAAGCCAGGGGAGCGAACGGG
rnacentral:rRNA from 1 species